AGCUGCGAUAAGUAAUGUGAAUUGCAGAACUCAGUGAAUCAUCGAGUCUUCGAACGCACAUUGCGCCCCCUGGCACUCCGGGGGGCACGCCUGUCCGAGCGUCAUUACGCACCCUCAAGCCCGGCUUGUGUGAUGGGCCCUGGCGUCUCGUUCGCGAGACGGGCCCGAAAGGCAGCGGCGGCGUCGACCCGAUGAGCCCGAGCGUAUGGGGACUUUUGUCACACGUUUGCGGUGCGGACCGGCGCCUGCUUGACUUUUCUGAUUAUCCAGGUUGACCUCGGAUCAGGUAGGGAUACCCGCUGAACUUAAGC
rnacentral:misc_RNA from 1 species